UACGGAGGGGGCUAGCGUUGUUCGGAAUUACUGGGCGUAAAGCGCACGUAGGCGGCUUUGCAAGUUAGAGGUGAAAGCCCGGGGCUCAACUCCGGAAUUGCCUUUAAAACUGCAUCGCUAGAAUUGUGGAGAGGUAAGUGGAAUUCCGAGUGUAGAGGUGAAAUUCGUAGAUAUUCGGAAGAACACCAGUAGCGAAGGCGACUUACUGGACACAUAUUGACGCUGAGGUGCGAAAGCGUGGGGAGCAAACAGG
rnacentral:rRNA from 1 species